rnacentral:rRNA from 1 species
UACGGGGGGGGCAAGCGUUGUUCGGAAUUACUGGGCGUAAAGGGCUCGUAGGCGGCCAACUAAGUCGGAUGUGAAAUCCCCAGGCUUAACCUGGGAACUGCAUCCGAUACUGGAUGGCUUGAAUCCGGGAGAGGGAUGCGGAGUUCCAGGUGUAGCGGUGAAAUGCGUAGAUAUCUGGAGGAACACCGGUGGCGAAGGCGGCAUCCUGGACCGGUAUUGACGCUGAGGCGCGAAAGCCAGGGGAGCAAACGGG